rnacentral:lncRNA from 1 species
CAUGACAGGACACAUCUUAAAAGAAGGUUUUUGAUCAUACAGACAAAAAUUACUGCGAACGGGGCUAGGAAGAUGGCUCAGUGGUAUCUCCGUAUUGUUUUCCAGAGCUGCUGUUUAUUUAUAUUUCCACAAGCAGUGUGCAGAAGUUCCCCUUCCUCCUCCUGGUUCUGCUUGUAAUAUCACGCCCAAUUCAUGGGAAAAGAAGAGGAGAUGUGGAGCGCUUGGUCGCACAGCUGGUCAGCGAGAGCAGGAUGUCAAGGCAACGCCGAAUGCCUGAAACGGUUUCCCCGUGGACGCAAUUCAGGAAAAGUCACCACAGGAGAGUCCAGUCCUUUCUUUGCUUAGGCUGAGUGGGUUAGUGUAUGGUAAGAGCUCAGUGCCCUCCAUUCUCAACCAGAUUCUUGAAUUUCUAGUGAAUUGAGAUGUGAGGGGCUUGAUUUGGCACAGUCUCUCUGGCCCCUGAUGUCUGCAACAUUGUGCUCGGACUCCCCAGGAUGAUCCUCUGGGAACUUCCACAUCCAGGCCUCCUGGUUUCUGCCAUGCAUAGUUUCUUGGUCUUAAAACGGGGUGAUUUAUUUUCUUUAAACGUUUAAUUAGCUAGUGUGCGUUUGUUGUGUAUAAAAUAACGUGCAGGAUUCCGUUCUCUUCUGCUCAGGGAUUGAAUUCAGGUCCGCAGGUUUGGCAGCGAAUGGAGCCAUCUCACAGACUCCUCACCUACUUUCUUUUCAGCUUCUGACUGAUCUCUCCAUUCUCCACCGCAGCGGUGUCUCAUCCUUCUGGCGUCUGCUCCUUGGCUCAGAGAACUGAAGCCUAGAGAAUUUGGUCAGCCUACAAAUUCGGCAGUCAAUUCCUGGCCCUCUGUUGCCCUCUAGUGGACUUUUGUCUUAUAACUUCGUGUACACGAUGCGUUUCAACUCACUGUGCUGCUGGAAGCCACUAUUGUUUCUAAUAGUUCAAAGGAUGUAGCUAGCAAUUAGAUUUAAUCUCUGACUCAUUUCAGCCUGCUUCACAAUAUUAAGGCAUGUUUUUGAAAAAAAAAUCCCUCAUUGUUUAAUGGAAAGACGUGAGGCAAAUCAGCGAUUACUGUUUCAGAGGACCCGGGGGAAAGUCAACUCUCACUUCCACCAGUCUUAUUAGUGUUAAGAAGCCAGCAAAUAAGCCAUUCAGCAAACAUCAUCUGAGCACGUGUGUCACGCACUGUCCAAGUAGUGGUGUCUGGGUGGAAGGAAAUGUCCAAUUCUUACACUGUGUGUCAAUAGGCGACAACACGGUUUUUGCCGUUAAAGAGUAAAGACAACCCCACGUCUAUGGCUUAUGGGAAGAGGAAAUCUCUACAGCCCUUCCUAACCACAAGCCAGUCCAUUAUUUCUGGGCUUGGUUAAUUGCCAUCAGGUCAGAGAAGUCGUAGCCAGAGAGUAAGAGAAUGUAAGAGUCCAAGUUCUGGACAAGUGUACAACAAUGAGCAAACUCCUUUUCCACAGCAGCAUCACAAACACGUACUAGCGUCUGGAGGCUAAGGGUCACAUGCCAGUAAGUGACUGGGGUUGAAAUAGACUCUCCCAGGGGGGAAUUGCUGCAAAGCACCCUGUGUAGGCCUUAGACUCAGCUGUGUGGGAGAUUUGUGCCUUUGGUGUCUGAGAUGGCCAGGCUCUGGGAUCCACAGAGCAUUUGUGGUAACUAUGUGUCUGUUUUCUCAAUGUUUCUUAGCCAGUUGUGGACUAUGUAGCCUCUGAUUUCAAGUAAAAACUUAACCAACCUCAAAAUUCUGAAGUUUGAAGUUGUCUUUAUUUUUUAU